rnacentral:rRNA from 1 species
GAUGAACGCUGGCGGCGUGCCUAAUACAUGCAAGUCGAGCGAACAGACGAGGAGCUUGCUCCUCUGACGUUAGCGGCGGACGGGUGAGUAACACGUGGAUAACCUACCUAUAAGACUGGGAUAACUUCGGGAAACCGGAGCUAAUACCGGAUAAUAUAUUGAACCGCAUGGUUCAAUAGUGAAAGACGGUUUUGCUGUCACUUAUAGAUGGAUCCGCGCCGCAUUAGCUAGUUGGUAAGGUAACGGCUUACCAAGGCAACGAUGCGUAGCCGACCUGAGAGGGUGAUCGGCCACACUGGAAGUGAGACACGGUCCAGACUCCUACGGGAGGCAGCAGUAGGGAAUCUUCCGCAAUGGGCGAAAGCCUGACGGAGCAACGCCGCGUGAGUGAUGAAGGUCUUCGGAUCGUAAAACUCUGUUAUUAGGGAAGAACAAAUGUGUAAGUAACUAUGCACGUAUUGACGGUACCUAAUCAGAAAGCCACGGCUAACUACGUG